rnacentral:rRNA from 1 species
CCUACGGGUGGCAGCAGUGAGGAAUAUUGGUCAAUGGCCGGAAGCCUGAACCAGCCAAGUAGCGUGCAGGAUGACGGCCCUACGGGUUGUAAACUUCUUUUAUAGGGGAAUAACGCGCCUUACGUGUAGGGCUUUGCAUGUACCGUAUGAAUAAGGACCGGCUAAUUCCGUGCCAGCAGCCGCGGUAAUACGGAGGGUCCGGGCGUUAUCCGGAUUUAUUGGGUUUAAAGGGUGCGUAGGCCGCAUGUCAAGCGUGCUGUGAAAUGUCCGGGCUCAACCCGGGCCUUGCCGUGGAAACUGGCGUGCUUGAGUGCGCGGAAGGCAGGCGGAAUUCGUGGUGUAGCGGUGAAAUGCUUAGAUAUGACGAAGAACCCCGAUUGCGAAGGCAGCUUGCUGAAUCGGAACUGACGCUGAUGCUCGAAAGCGCGGGGAUCGAACAGGAUUAGAUACCCGUGUAGUC